rnacentral:misc_RNA from 1 species
UCAGAAGUCGACCGGUCUCUCAGCAUCUGCAGAGGAUUCGGUCAGAGAGAUGCUGCCACUGCCGAGCGAAAGCAAGGAAGUAGUCCUGUCUUGCGCGAGCAGACAGUAACUUCUCUCCUACCAUGACGUAACUUAUGUUGCCGAGUUGGAGAGUCAGCACACCUCUCUUCAUGCAUCUACGGGAUGGAACUGUGACGAGCAAAGAUUCGCAAUCUACCUCAGGAGCCCCUUAUCUCAGAUGGUUCGCAACCACGGGUGAAAUUCCCAGCAUGAAUACGUUGGUGUCUGCUCUACUGGUCCUGUCGCAAGACAAUGAUCCAGAACUUGCUGAGCAGAAGCUGCAAAGCCUCUGAUACGACACAACUGUUGAAACUGAUUAAAAUCGUGCGUGAAGAACGCAUGAGCGAGUAACUAAGACGUAGAGCUGAGCGCAAGCUACGAAGCUGCCGAAUGAAAGGAAACCCCUUGGUACAUGCACUACAAUAACGCAGGGUGCGGACGAGUUGAAGGCUUAGAAAGCCCCUUGAGGAUCCUGUCUCCGUGAAUAUGAAGCAGUGACGGACAUGAAACAUUGUCCAUGAGCUCUCCAAAGGUAUGGGUAACUCCCAUGGGUGCAACUAUCAGCAUGGAUAACAACUCCUGAAUGCUUUGGAGUGAUGGACUGUCAUUUGAAUAAUCAUGUCCCCUCUAUCUGCUGUUGACUUGGUACCAUAACACCAGGAAUCACGGUUAAGGGAACAGCUGACACACGAUCCGAUCCUGAUCCAGCUUGUUCCGCCUGAGAAUAAGCGUCUGAAGAGACCGCCAUUGAGCAAAGCGUUUGGGCCCAACCAGCCAAACCGCCAGAGCAAAGAGUCAGUCCGAGCCGCAACAAGCCAGAACUAGAGCCGCCGGCCGACAAAUGCCGAAAAAAAACACUACGACUACGCUGAAAAGCAGUCUGGAGCUGUACGAAGGUAAAAUUACACCUGCCACCAGAGCAGGAAACGUUGUAGCGAAUGAUACACGUUAAGUUAUGCCAGCACAAGAGUGACACUGUGAAACGAUGACAACAGCGCAAAGGUGAAACUGUGAACUGUGAGAGCAGACCUUCUGAGGAUAUAGGCCAGAGCCAACCAAUUAUAAGAGCCACUGCCAUCAUUAUAAGCCAGUGAGUGCCAAUGAGCCAAUGAGAGCGAAGUCUUUCUGCCAAUGAGAGCCAGCGCUAUCAAGCCAGAGCCAAUAUGAGCAACAAGAAGAUGAGAUGAGAGUCACUGCAUGCGCCAGAUUAUCAUCCAAGAGCCAGUAAGUGCUGCAAAGCCUGUGAGAGCCAUUCGAUAAGUCGGAGAUCCAACGAUCAGAUUCGCAUUCAGGAAGGAUGUAGGCGUGGAACCUUGCUAUGAGGAUGUACACCAGCCGAACCUUUAGAUUAUAGAACAAGAGGAUGUAAGCACUGAGCUGAACCUCUGGGGAUAAUACAUUAUGGACCAUAGAGUCCAACCCA